rnacentral:rRNA from 1 species
UACGUAGGGGGCAAGCGUUGUCCGGAUUCAUUGGGCGUAAAGCGCGGGCAGGCGGCCCGUUAAGUCGGCCGUGAAAGCGCCGGGCUCAACUCGGCGAGGACGGGCGAGACUGACGGGCUCGAGGUUGGCAGAGGGCGGUGGAAUUCCGGGUGUAGUGGUGGAAUGCGUAGAGCUCCGGAGGAACACCAGUGGCGAAGGCGGCCGCCUGGGCCAAUACUGACGCUGAGCCGCGAAAGCCAGGGGAGCAAACGGG